GACGAACGCUGGCGGCGUGCUUAACACAUGCAAGUCGAACGGAAAGGCCCUGCUCUUGUGGGGUGCUCGAGUGGCGAACGGGUGAGUAACACGUGAGUAACCUGCCCUUGACUUUGGGAUAACUUCAGGAAACUGGGGCUAAUACCGGAUAGGAGCUCCUGCUGCAUGGUGGGGGUUGGAAAGUUUCGGCGGUUGGGGAUGGACUCGCGGCGUAUGAGCUUGUUGGUGGGGUAGUGGCUUAGCAAGGCUGUGAGGGGUAGCCGGCCUAACAGGGGGAUCGGCGACAUGGGAGCGGAGACAGGGUCCAGGGUCCUGCGGGAGGGAGCAGUAUGGAACGUGAGGCAGUGGGCGAGAGCCUUACGGAGCGACGGGGAGUGAGUGAUGGAGGUGCUGGGUGCGUAAAACUCUGUUAUGAGGGAAGAACAGAUGUGUAAGGAAAUAUGGACGUCGUGACGGUACCGGAUCAGAAAGCCACGGCUAACUACGUG
rnacentral:rRNA from 1 species